ACUUCGCAUCUUAGUGAAUUUGCCCCUAAGUGCUGUAGUUCCAUGAGAAUCCAGAACAGUAAAUAAGUAAUCACCUAAAGGACACAGUGCCAGUUCCAGCAGUUUAACACAUGUAUGAUUCCCAGCCGAGUGGGUGGCAAAAUGUUCAAAUGUGAUUUUUAAUAGACACAGUAAUGUUCUGAUUCACUAUUCAGCCCACCCAAGCCCCACACCCUUUUCGUUGUAUUGCCAACUUGUAAUUUUCAGUACUCUGAGAAAUGCCCCAGCAAGUCCCCUUCCCUCACCCUUUUCACUCACUGUGUGAAGCAGUGAAACAGACCUUUCUGCAGUCGUGCUGUUUGCCCUAAGCAUACCCCCCACCCUGAAAGUAUACCAAUCCUUAACUGCAACUGUCUUUUAUUAUCAGUACAGAAACUGUCCUUGUACUUCUAACUGAUCAAUCAUUGGCACUAGGAUUGGAUCAUCUAUUGUGGCCUGUGGAGAACCAUCGUAUUACAGACAGAACAAAUCAAUAGAAGAAUCGCCAGUUUAAUGUCAUUAAAUUAAAUGUGAAGCAGUGAAACAGACCUUUCUGCAGCCGUGCUGUCUCCUGUACUUCUCCUAAUAAUCAGCUCUCUGCUGGCAGGCUGCAAACAGCACACCGUUUCUAAUUGAUGCUCACUCUGCAAUCCACUGAUCAUGUCUGCUGUCUGCAGCCUGCAGACUUGCCAGCAGAGAGCGGAUUAUUAGGAGAAAUACAACAGGAGACAGCACGGCUGCAGAGAGAUCACUGCAGCCUACCUGCCAUUUAAGGGUCAUGGCUUUUGCGGCCCCAAAGCACAUGGAGGGCCCCAAAUUACAAACCAAAAUGAGUACAUGGACCCCAUUAAACCACCAGCUCAUGAAUGACAGAGUGAGGGCUGUCAUAUCGUUUCCCCUAGAUGGUAUAUUAGAUGGUAUAAUUUACUGAAUACAUUGAAAAAGAUUUUCAGCCGAAUAGCAUUUCUAUAAUGGGUCAGCGAGUCGGCUGCUUAUCGCUUUAUGUGCGGCGAAAUAAAGACACACAGAUAUUCUUGCUACAACAGAUGCCUAAGAUUCCUUAUUGCAUGGCUGCAGAAGGUGCAGGUUCCCAGGUGAUAAUAAGCCAAUAUGCCUGAAUUAAAAUAAAAAUACACUUUGCACUUUUUUUCUGUCAUUUUCUGAAACUUUCAUGGUGGCAAUGUG